AGUGAACGCUGGCGGUAGGCCUAACACAUGCAAGUCGAACGGCAGCACAGUAAGAGCUUGCUCUUACGGGUGGCGAGUGGCGGACGGGUGAGGAAUACAUCGGAAUCUACUUUUUCGUGGGGGAUAACGUAGGGAAACUUACGCUAAUACCGCAUACGACCUACGGGUGAAAGCAGGGGAUCUUCGGACCUUGCGCGAUUGAAUGAGCCGAUGUCGGAUUAGCUAGUUGGCGGGGUAAAGGCCCACCAAGGCGACGAUCCGUAGCUGGUCUGAGAGGAUGAUCAGCCACACUGGAACUGAGACACGGUCCAGACUCCUACGGGAGGCAGCAGUGGGGAAUAUUGGACAAUGGGCGCAAGCCUGAUCCAGCCAUACCGCGUGGGUGAAGAAGGCCUUCGGGUUGUAAAGCCCUUUUGUGGGGAAAGAAAAGCAGCAGGUUAAUACGCCGCUGUUCUGACGGUACCCAAAGAAUAAGCACCGGCUAACUUCGUG
rnacentral:rRNA from 1 species